GAAAUAGGAAAGUAUUUAAUGGUUUCAACAUAAAAUCAAAACACAUAAGUCAUAAAUAGAAUAAUUAUGACUUGCAUAAUUAUGACCAGUAUUGUCAGGUUUUAUGUGUCUGCUGGUAAAACUUUGGAAUAUGAUUUGCAGAAAUCUCAGUUCAGGAGUGUUUAGCAAAGUUUAUGAAUGUGUACAGCAUUAAAAAGUAUUUAAACCAGGCUAGCCUCGAACUCCUGAACUCAGGUGAUCUGCCUGCCUCGGCCUCACAAAGUGCUGUGAUUACAGGGUGUGAGCCACUGCACCUGGCCGAUAACAGAUGUUUUAAUAGUAAGAUAAAAAGUAAAAUUUCCAGUGUGUCGAAGGAAGAAAAUUACAGCCUAGAAUUUUAUCUUCAUGUACAUUAUUUAAGUGUGAGGGAAUAGUUUCAGUGACAUUAUGUCAUUGAAGACCUUAGAAGAUUUCCCUCGCUAAAGGAGAUAAAGCGACUGGCACAACAUGUAUUUCUCUGAGUAAUUAGAAGUGUUCUUUUCUGGCUGUACUGAAGGGACUUUCAUGAUUUCUUCGUUUUUGUACUCUUAGUUUUAUAAUAUUGCAUAGUAGCUAAGGCCUGGCUGUAGCAGUUAUAAACUGUUCUGCAAGUGCGGGAAGUAAUAGUU
rnacentral:sRNA from 1 species